rnacentral:lncRNA from 1 species
UUGGUCAGGGAAAAGCCUAAUUUCUUCAAUCUGAACUUUAAAACAGAUUUCACCAAGUUCAGAAAUCACUUCAUGAGUCCAAAAACCCGUGUGAGAAGGACAUCAAGCCAUCUCUUCAGCGAAUAUGAUAUAAAAAAUGAAUUGUACUGCACAAUAGAAGCAAUUAGAAUGUAGAAGUGUGGGUUCAAUAACAACAUAUGUGUGCACUUCAAACAAUGCACUAAAAG